rnacentral:rRNA from 1 species
AGAGUUUGAUCAUGGCUCAGGACGAACGCUGGCGGCGUGCCUAACACAUGCAAGUCGAACGCCCUCGACCUUCGGGUCACAUGAGGGAGUGGCGAACGGGUGAGUAACACGUGAGAAACCUACCCCGAAGACCGGGAUAACCAUUGGAAACGAUGGCUAAUACCGGAUACCUUCUUUUCACCGCAUGGUGAUUUGAAGAAAUGUUUUUUCGCUUCGGGAGGGUCUCGCGACCUAUCAGUUAGUUGGUGAGGUAAUGGCUCACCAAGACAUCGACGGGUAGCUGGUCUGAGAGGACGAUCAGCCACACUGGGACUGAGACACGGCCCAGACUCCUACGGGAGGCAGCAGUGGGGAAUAUUGCGCAAUGGGCGAAAGCCUGACGCAGCAACGCCGCGUGCGGGAUGAAGGCCUUCGGGUUGUAAACCGCUUUCAGCAGGGACGAAAAUGACGGUACCUGCAGAAGAAGCUCCGGCUAACUACGUGCCAGCAGCCGCGGUAAUACGUAGGGAGCAAGCGUUGUCCGGAUUUAUUGGGCGUAAAGGGCUCGUAGGUGGUUCGGUAAGUCGGAUGUGAAAAAUCUGGGCUCAACCCAGUCAAGCAUCCGAUACUGCUGUGACUAGAGUUCGGUAGAGGAGUGUGGAAUUCCUGGUGUAGCGGUGGAAUGCGCAGAUAUCAGGAGGAACACCAACAGCGAAGGCAGCGCUCUGGGCCGAUACUGACACUGAGGAGCGAAAGCAUGGGGAGCAAACAGGAUUAGAUACCCUGGUAGUCCAUGCCGUAAACGUUGGGCACUAGGUGUGGGGAGGAUUCAACCCUUUCCGCGCCGUAGCUAACGCAUUAAGUGCCCCGCCUGGGGAGUACGGCCGCAAGGCUAAAACUCAAAGGAAUUGACGGG